UAAGCUAUUUGAAGUAUAUCCUCAUUUAGUUAUGACAGAUUCACAUUUGACUGCUCAGAAUAACUUUUUAAAAUUUUAAUUUGAGUCUAUUUUUGAAUUUACGGUUUGGACAAGAUA
rfam:Populus trichocarpa isolate Nisqually-1 chromosome 6, whole genome shotgun sequence.